AUUGAACGCUGGCGGCAGGCCUAACACAUGCAAGUCGAACGAGUGGCGGACGGGUGAGUAAUGUCUGGGAAACUGCCUGAUGGAGGGGGAUAACUACUGGAAACGGUAGCUAAUACCGCAUACCAUCGGAUGUGCCCAGAUGGGAGUAGCUAGUAGGUGGGGUAACGGCUCACCAAGGCGACGAUCCCUAGCUGGUCUGAGAGGAUGACCGGCCAAACUGGAGCUGGGACACGGUCCUGACUCCUACGGGAGGCAGCAGUGGGGAAUAUUGCACAAUGGGCGAAAGCCUUAUGCAGCCAUGCCGCGUGUAUGAAGAAGGCCUUCGGGUUGUAAAGUACUUUCAGCGGGGAGGCGUUACCCACAGAGGAAGCACCGGCUAACUCCGUGCCAGCAGCCGCGGUAAUAC
rnacentral:rRNA from 1 species